AUUGAACGCUGGCGGCAGGCCUAACACAUGCAAGUCGAACGGUAGCACAGAGAGCUUGCUCUCGGGUGACGAGUGGCGGACGGGUGAGUAAUGUCUGGGAAACUGCCCGAUGGAGGGGGAUAACUACUGGAAACGGUAGCUAAUACCGCAUAACGUCGCAAGACCAAAGUGGGGGACCUUCGGGCCUCACACCAUCGGAUGUGCCCAGAUGGGAUUAGCUAGUAGGUGGGGUAAUGGCUCACCUAGGCGCCGAUCCCUAGCUGGUCUGAGAGGAUGACGCGCCACACUGGAACAGAGACACGGUCCAGACACCUACGGGAGGCAGCAGUGGGGAAGAUUGCACAAUGGGCGCAAGCCUGAUGCAGCCAUGCCGCGUGUAUGAAGAAGGCCUGCGGGUUGUAAAGUACUUUCAGCGGGGAGGAAGGCGGUGAAGUUAAUAGCUUCACCGAUUGACGUUACCCGCAGAAGAAGCACCGGCUAACUCCGUGCCAGCCGCCGCGGUAA
rnacentral:rRNA from 1 species